UUCUGGUAUAACGGUAAUACAGUAUUAACAAAAGUCAGUUCAAAAGAAGAAUAACUCAUUUAGAAAAAUAAAUCCUGGCAUUUAUCUUUGUGAACAGAAUUGCUAUGAACUUCAUAGCAACAAAACAUAUCAGAUGUCAACUAAUGAACCUACUCAGUAAAGCACUGAUAAAAGCUGAUUUCCCAACAUUUGCGGAGCCCUGUAGCAAAAGGUAAGCUAAACUAUCAGAUGCAAACGCAUUUUUUAUAGGUCAAUGCAAACGCAUUUUUUAUAGGUCAAUCCAAGUAUGCACCAACUAGAGGAUAAUCGAUACAGAAGGCAAAACAAGAUAUGACAACUCUUUUGUUUUACUUCCUUUUACAAGCAUACUCAAAUAGAAAUCAGCAACAUGACUUGACUGGGCAUGAAAGAUUUUCAUGGAUAAAAUACCAGUAAAAAAGCAUGUGCUGAUUCAAAAUCUUAUUGAAGUUCCAUACAGUCAACAGGUUAAAAUCUCAAAUGUGAUUGAGAAUCAAAUCAAAUUCAUAGCAGUUCACAAGAAACCACACACUCCAAGAGCAAGGAUAAGUAGAAAAAAAAAUUCAGGUUCUGAGAAGUGUUAAAUUCACUUGACAAAACCAAUACUCAGUACUAAGUAAGUAAACUUCCAGAGUUCCCAUCAAGAAGCUCACCAUAA
rnacentral:lncRNA from 1 species